AUUAUAAAAGACGAACAUCCUUUUAAGUGGCCAAGGCAACCGAUGAAACUACACUAAUCUUAAAGCAACAAAUAAUUAAGCAUUUGUGCACAGAUCUUAAAGCUACCAUCAAUCUCUCAUGAACAAAAUAUAUGUACAGUAGAUAUCACCGUCGCUCAUCCUCUCAUCCUCUCAUCAUCUCAAUCUCUCAACCAUUCUCUCCCGGCGAUCCCCGCAACGGAGGAAAGCGGCAGAGGCGGCGGCGUUCUUUAUCAACCUGGAUCAACACGGCCGGGCCGGCGAGGGGAGGCGCGGCGGCGGCGUUGGUCGUGGCCGGCGAGGAGAGGAGCGGCGGCGGCGUUGGGUGGCUGUCGCCCGUCGGAGCUAGGCGAGAAAGGAGCCGGCGGCGGCGGCGGCGCAACUUCACGUCCCGGUAAGGUUGUCCUGCUCCUCCUGCAGAUGCAUUUGUUCUUGAUGUCACUGGGGAAAUAGAAAUAUGUUUCUGCGCUAUGGUCCUUGCCAGGUACCUGACUAUAGAAUAUGAACAUAGCAUAGUCAAUGAAUACCCAAUAGGAUCGUUCAGUUUCCAACACUAUGGCUUAAUGUUGAGCGUAUCUUGGAGAUACAAGCUCAUGAACCUGUAGAAUUAUGGACAAUAAAUUGUUCUCAAGUUUCAGGCGAAGGCACUGCGUCCUUUGGUUGGAUGUAAGAUUCACUUCAUACUUUGUCUUGAACUUCAAUUACUGAAGCUUUGUGCAAUUUUCUUGUUUGGCAGUGGUGGCCAUUUGUUUUAUUACUCAAGUGUGGUUGUGGCAUUUCCAUUAUUAGGAUAAAUGGAAUUCUGGUGCUAGGACAAAUGGACUGGUUGGUUUCCUCUAAGAUGGAUAUUUUGCAGCCACAAGCCAGAGAAAAAGGUGGUAAAUGUUGGCACAAAAUGAAGGUCAUGUGAUUGCUAAGGUGAUUCUGUUUUCCUGUUAAGUUAAGUUAUCUAUAUUUUUUUGUUGUGUUGUCUCCAAAUUUUGCAUUUGGGGAUCACAGUUUUGCAUGUCACAACGUUUAUUCCUCCGCAGUUGAUCCACCGAUCUGACGCAGAAGUACUUAUUGGGGUUCAUUAUUUGUUUCUUUAAUGUAUUGGAUUUGUAAGUAGCAAGAUGAACAAUGCUCCUAACUGGGUAAUAUAAAACAAGAUACCAGUUGAAGGCAGCUAAUCGACCUUUGAGGGGGAGCUUUUCUUGUUUAGUACAUUGUUUCCAAGGCGGUAGUGUCGAUUUGUUGGCGAAGAAGAGUGCGUCAUCGUCACGAAACACAGCCGCUGGGUGAAUGGCGCUUGCCGGCGGCCUGAAUUGGGGAUCCGUCCGAAUCACACGAAGAUUUGUGGAGUGUUGUUGCCCCUUCAGGCUACCUGAUGUUGGGCCGAGAGCCUUGAACGAAGAUAGGUCAUCACCAUGAACGAGUCAACAUGUGUCUUUGCUAGAGUGGACGAACCGUGUUCUUAGUGACAUCUACUUCACUUCUUUUACUUAUGAAAAGGAUCGAACGAUUAAAAGCCUUUUAUCUAUGUUGAUAAAUAAAUUUAUUCUCUUAUAAAUUUUCGUGUUUUUCCCGAUUCGGUACAUUUGUAACAAACCAUGGUAUUCAAAAUAUUUGUACCUCGUGAUGUGUCUGCAGAAGAUGUGAGUUGAUAGGCACAUUCUUAUGCCUAAGCUCCACAUCCUAAAACACACCUGCUCCAGAUUUUAUUAUUGGGAGCCUACAA